CGGCAUGGAUUAGGCAUGCAAGUCGAACGGGAGCAGCAAUGCUCCAGUGGCGCAAGGGUGAGGAACACGUGAACAACCUGCCUUCGAGUUGGGGAUAGCUUCUGGAAACGGGAGAUAAUACCGAAUAACAUCACCGGAUCGCAUGAUCUGGUGAUCAAAGCAGCAAUGCGCUUGAAGAGGGGUUCGCGUCCCAUUAGCUAGUUGGUGAGGUAACGGCCCACCAAGGCGAUGAUGGGUAGCUGGUCUGAGAGGACGAUCAGCCACAUUGGGACUGAGAUACUGCCCAGACUCCUACGGGAGGCUGCAGUCGAGAAUUUUGGGCAAUGGACGAAAGUCUGAACCCCCAGCAAUGCCGCGUGCGGGAUGAAGGUCUUCGGAUUGUAAACCGCUGUCAAGAGGGACGAAACAUGACGGUACCUCUGGAGGAAGCCACGGCUAACUACGUGCCAGCCGCCGC
rnacentral:rRNA from 1 species